CAGUCGCCGCGGUAAUACGUAGGUCCCGAGCGUUGUCCGGAUUUAUUGGGCGUAAAGCGAGCGCAGGCGGUUAGAUAAGUCUGAAGUUAAAGGCUGUGGCUUAACCAUAGUACGCUUUGGAAACUGUUUAACUUGAGUGCAAGAGGGGAGAGUGGAAUUCCAUGUGUAGCGGUGAAAUGCGUAGAUAUAUGGAGGAACACCGGUGGCGAAAGCGGCUCUCUGGCUUGUAACUGACGCUGAGGCUCGAAAGCGUGGGGCGCAAACAGGAUUAGAUACCCCUGUAGUCCCUGUCUCUUAUACC
rnacentral:rRNA from 1 species